GACGAACGCUGGCGGCGUGCUUAACACAUGCAAGUCGAGCGGUAAGGCCCUCGGGUACGACGAGCGGCGAACGGGUGAGUAACACGUGGGUGACCUGCCUCUAGCUCUGGGAGUAAGCCUGGGAAACGUAGGGUCGUAAUACCGGAUAUGACUCCACGGCGCAUGUUGUGGGGUGGAAAGCCUUGUGUGGCUAGAGAUGGGCCCGCGGCCUAUCAGCUUGUUGGUGGGGUGAUGGCCUACCAAGGCGACGACGGGUAGCCGG
rnacentral:rRNA from 1 species